AUACGGAGGGUGCAAGCGUUACUCGGAAUCACUGGGCGUAAAGCGCGCGCAGGCGGAUUGGCAAGUUGGAUGAGAAAGCCUGCGGCUCAACCGCAGAACUGCAUCCAAAACUGUCAGUCUAGAGUCUGGGAGAGGUAGCUGGAAUUAGUGGUGUAGGGGUAAAAUCCGUAGAGAUCACUAGGAAUACCGAAAGCGAAGGCGAGCUACUGGAACAGUACUGACGCUGAGGCGCGAAAGCGUGGGGAGCAAACAGGAUUAGAAACCCUAGUAGUCC
rnacentral:rRNA from 1 species